AUAGAUGCAAUUGGAAUAGAAUAUAAGGGAAGAUACUAUGUAAUUUCUCAUCUAUUAGAACGACUACAUUUCACAAAAACCCAUGAAUGUGCAGUAAUCAAACAGAGCAGAUUGAUAACAAAGGAGAACUUCCCCACUUUAUCUACUGAUCAAGCUCAGCAACUGCUGGAAAUCCUAAAUCACCAUCUUCCUAAUCUUCAAGGAUUGAAACUAUAUAAGGACUGGAGUUUUUGCUACAAAUCAAGUUACCCCGCAUUUCCUUCCUGUGAGGACAAAAUGGAAAAUUUAAGAAUUUCUGAACCUUUUUUGUUUCAAAUAUUUAAUUUAUUUUUUAUUAUUUUUGUUCUAAAAAAUUAUAACAUUCUUAAAAACAUGCAGAAAUACAUGUGUGUCCCAUUCCCUUCCAAUAUGUAAACAUGGAUUUUUUUUAAAAAAGUUUGAGAUAUGCAUAUGCGUGCCUGUAUGGGUACUAUACCGGGUUGAAUUGUCAAAUAUUUGUUGGUUGUUGGCUUAGAAAGAUGUUUGACAGUUUAAAUGACUUAAACAAUAAAUGAUUGACAACUCACCUUGGAUAUUAAUAACCUUAUGGCUUAAAAAACAUAGGUACUGGAGCAAUCUUCUCACAUGAUAUUAUAUAUUAAGUAAAAUAUCUAAAGUAUUUAUUUAUAUAUGUAAAAUUUGCAACACACAGUCACAGUAUUAAAAGAGAAAAAACUGAAGAACUGUUUUGUAAAAAAAAAAAAAAAAAAGCUAUAAAGGAGUAGAAUAUUUGAGAAAAAAUGAAUGCAGAAUAUUAUAUAGCUUGAAAUAUGGAGGUUAAAGAGUUUCUACAUGAUUGACAAUUGCUAACAGCAUAUAGGGGAUAAGUCAUUAGUCUGUCUCUCAAAUUCUUCAUAUCAUCAUAUUAAUCAUAUUAAGUAAUUUAAGAAAAUGUAAAGGAGAAACCAAAAUAUUUGCCAACAAUGCUUGAAAUUGCAACCAUUGUUGGUGGUGCCAUCAAAUAUGGAAGGAUGUUCUGACUUCUAAGCCACCAAUUCCCAAAGUUCUCAAUCUGAGAGACCUUUCGUCUUGGGAUCAUCAGAGGUGGUCUGCUGCUGCUGGUUAAGCAAGGAGAGUUGAAAUUUUACAGAAAAGAGCAUUUGGGACAGAUUUGGGAGCAUGUAACAACAUUUCAACCUCUACCAUUUGUUUGUAUAUAUCAAAUAAUGAGUUUCUUUUGCAGCCUGCUGUUUACCAGACUCCAGGCUCAGGUAGAGCAAGAAGGGAUUCCGCAGCACGUGCAAUGCAAGGUUGGCAUGCUCAGCGCCUUCUUGGAUAUGGUGAGGUUGCUGAGCCAGUUAUUAAGGUCUGUUGAGACCUUUACAAUUUUCAUUUUUAUUCUUAGCAUCAUUUUAUUGUUGAUCACUGUAACUCUCUUACAGCAAUGUUUCUACUGAUAGAGUGUUUGUUUUUUCUUGCACAGGACAAGAACUUCAGUUCCACACAAAAGCGUGAAAAGAACCUAAAAAGUAUUGGUAUGGUCACUACAAACAUCACCAACUUUCUCUAAAUUAAUAGCUAUCUCAUUUAUUUAUGCUUCAAUGAAUCAGGUAUGAUCAAUAAACAGAGGACACUGUCUGGUCUGGAGCAUGCUGAGAAAUCUGCAAAUAUUGAAGGAGAUCAACAGUUAAGUUACUGGUCUUUUCUGUUAAUUGACCUAUAAUAGUCCUGUGCGUAGAGUCAUGAUCUUUGUAUCAGUUUCAGUGUUGGCUUCUCCAUCCACAAUCUCUUAAUUCAUGGCAUUGGCCACCCACCACUUGAAGUUCUCUUCAUUAUAACAAUUACUGUUGAGUAAAUUAAUUUUGCUGUUACACAAUUAAUAAAUGCUAUUUUCUAUGAGAUUCAUAGGUUUUCAGCAAAUUAAAAUAAGGAAUUAACCAGAACAAGUUGGUGCACCUUAAUGAUACUACCCUAUACAUGUCUUAUUCAAGUCCUUGGAGAUAUAUCUGCUUUCUUCCUCCCUAAAGGUUUCUAUAUCUACAUCUUUCCUACCCCACCCCAAAGUUUUGUGAGCCAAAACACAGACAAACUGACAAAGUGAAUAUGCCCUGGGAGUUUGGCAUUUUCUUAAUGUCAGUCAGGAUUCUGUUCAUUAUUACUGAUUCUCCGAUCAAUCCAACCACAUACAAUGCCUAUUUCAAUCUGAAAAAGAUACGUGUGCACUGUGAGAUAUGAUAAAGUUUCAGUGUAUCUAAUGAACCAAGGCUAAUUGAGUUUUUCAUCUGAUAGAUUGGUCACAGCGGUAGUGGACGUUGGACCCCCAGCUGACUGGGUGAAGAUCAAUGUGCGGGAAACUGUAAGUCAGUUUGGUUGUAUUCUUUACCUAGUUUAUGUCCUUCUUAUGUAUCAUAAUGACAGAUCUUUUCUCCUGUAAAUAGAAUUUAAUAAUAAAAUUUUACUGUUUUCUGUAUCCAUGUCCAGAAGGAUGGUUUUGAGGUGUAUGCCCUUGUUCCUGGGCUCCUUCGUGAGGAGGUAAGCACCAUGGUGUCUUUAUCCCCUGUUUAUUUUUAUGCAGAAAAACUGGCUUAUUCUGCUGGACGAAACACAUGCCCGUGCAAUUGUCAAAUCCUCACUCCUAGUUAUCCAACAAUGACAACCAUUAAAGAUAAUUAUUAUGUCCUUGAAUUUAUUAAAUCUUAUCUUAGAUUUUUCUUCUUGAGCAUAACUAUAUAAAAUAGGAUGUAGAAUCACUUUUUACAAUUUCUAAUGAUCUAUAUUGGCUGUUUUUCGAUGCCUUUUUGUGAGGAGGAAAAUUUUACCUAUAUAGUUUUAUAUAGAUUUAGUUACUCAUUUGAUCCCUAUAAUUUUAUAAUUUAUACCUUUUAAUUUUUAUUGUUUGAAAGUGGUUUUUUAAGUUCUUAUAAUUUGAAUUUUAAUUAUCUUUGAGUUCUUGUAGUUUGAAAGUGGUUUUUUUAGUUCUUAUAAUUUAUAUUUUAAUUCUCUUUUAGUCUCUAUAGUUUGAAAGUGAUCUUUUUAAUUUUUAUACUUUAUAUUUUAAUUUCAUUUUAGUUUUUACCAUCAAAAUAUGAGUAACAUUAUUAAUUACAAUUAACUACAAAAAUAUUAACGAGAUAAUUUGUAAUAAAAAAUAGUUGAUGAUUUAUAACUAAUUUGUUGUUAAUUAUUUUUAUUUUUUUUGUAGCUAAUUAUUUUUUUAGCAAGAACUAAAAGAUAAUUAAGAUACAAAUUAUAGGAACUAAAAAUAUCACUUUUAAGCUAUAGGGACUAAAAGAGAAUUAAAAUACUAUAAGAACUAAAAAGACCAUUUUUAAAUUAUAGAGACUAAAAGAGAAUUAAAAUAUAAAUUAUAGAGACUAAAAAAAUCACUUUUAAACUAUAAGGACUAAAAAGUAUGAAUCGUGAAACUAUAUGGAACCAAAUUAGUAAUUAAACAUUUUAUAUGUGUUUGGGAUAAUUUGCCGUCAUGUUAAAAGUAAAAACUAAUUGUAUUUAAUGAUUGAAAAAAGUUCUUCUAAGUGAGCAAGGGUGUAUUCACCCUUAAUUUUAUGAAGUGCACAUUGAAUGAUUUAAAUUCUGAAUAGUGAAUACAAACAUUAUUUGUUCAUUUUAGAUUUAAAUGAGUAUUUUCCUUUGUGAUUGAUAAUGGCUUCCUUGGUUUCUACUUUUAUUGUUGACUUUGUUAUAAUAAAUCCAGGUGCGAGUCCAAUCAGAUCCGGUUGGACGUCUUGUUAUAACUGGUGUGCCAGAACACCUUGACAAUCCAUGGGGAAUUACCCCCUUCAAAAAGGUAAACUACCUUUUCUUAACAGAGAUCUUGGUAUGACGCUGAGAGUAAUAAUAGAAUUUGUCACGUAAGGACGUGGCAUCUUCGUUGAAAGUGAUUGACUGAAAUUUGAUGUUUUUCAGGUUGUGAACUUACCUACAAGAAUUGAUUCGCUUCAGACAUCUGCUGUUGUUAGUUUGCAUGGUCGACUAUUUGUACGCGUUCCUUUUGAGCAGGGAGCUGUGUGAAUGUUCCUCCCUUG
rnacentral:lncRNA from 1 species